rnacentral:rRNA from 1 species
ACAUCCGUAGCUUGUUUUGUAAGUUUUCUGUGAAAUCCUAUCUCUUAAGGAUAGGAAGUGCAGAAAAUACUGCUAAACUUGAGACUGGAAGACGUAAGGAGUACAUCUAAGGUAGUAGUAAAAUACGUUAAUCUUAGAUGGACUAACAACAGCGAAGGCACCUUACGAGUACAGAUCUGACAGUGAGGGAUGAAGGCUAGGGGCGCGAAACGGAUUAGAUACCCGUGUAGUCCUAGCAGUAAACACUGCUCACUAAACAUCAUUAUCUCCUCGAGAGAUAUUGGUGCUGCAGCGAAGGCGAAGAGUGAGCUACCUGGGAAGUAUAGCCGCAAGGCCGAAACUUAAAGGAAUUGGCGGGGGAGCACAAGCCGA